rnacentral:rRNA from 1 species
AGUGAACGCUGGCGGUAGGCCUAACACAUGCAAGUCGAACGGCAGCACAGUAAGAGCUUGCUCUUACGGGUGGCGAGUGGCGGACGGGUGAGGAAUACAUCGGAAUCUACUUUUUCGUGGGGGAUAACGUAGGGAAACUUACGCUAAUACCGCAUACGACCUACGGGUGAAAGCAGGGGAUCUUCGGACCUUGCGCGAUUGAAUGAGCCGAUGUCGGGUUAGCUAGUUGGCGGGGUAAAGGCCCACCAAGGCGACGAUCCGUAGCUGGUCUGAGAGGAUGAUCAGCCACACUGGAACUGAGACACGGUCCAGACUCCUACGGGAGGCAGCAGUGGGGAAUAUUGGACAAUGGGCGCAAGCCUGAUCCAGCCAUACCGCGUGGGUGAAGAAGGCCUUCGGGUUGUAAAGCCCUUUUGUUGGGAAAGAAAAGCAGCAGGUUAAUACCCCGCUGUUCUGACGGUACCCAAGAAUAAGCACCGGCUAACUUCGUG